rnacentral:lncRNA from 1 species
CGGGCAUUCACUGCUCUCCACAUUCUCAAAUGUUGUCUCUGCAGUUUUAACACAAAAGCACAUCCUCCUCUGUUUUGGUGUGUUAAAGACAGAGGCUAGGAGGACACAUGGAAGUGUGAAAUAAGAAUUUGGAAAGCGCAGGGUCUCAGCAGCUUACUCAUGGAGAGGAGACAGCUCUGCUGCAAGAUUGUUUGUGUUUCUACAAUCUGAAGCACCAUACAAGAAACAGACUCUUUUCUCCUUGUGUAUCUGCAAACAGAAUGUCUGUGGGGAAGCAACCUUACAUCGAGAGAGACCUUGGGCAGGGAGAGGGAUGUGUACCAGAACUUGUAGAUCAUUCUAGAAAGCAUACAGGCAGCAAAUGUCACAGUUUAAAAACUAUCCUCUUUUCAAGUUUUUUUUUUUAAGCCUAAUUAUAUCGUGAAGAAAGUCUCAGUUUGGUGCUAACAAAGAGAUUUCUAACACUUUUAUCUUCCUUUUUUAAGAAACUGAAGAUGAGCCUCAGGCUCAGUGUCUUCAGCAGAAACUACAUAGAGCUAGAGUUUAAUAACAUUAUAUGGUUUUUGUAAAUGAAAAAAAUUCAGAAUGCCAUCUUUUUAGGUGACACUUUUUUAAAAGUAGUGUUACAAAACUUUCUUUUAAAAAAUAUUUAGGCUAAAAAUUUUUAAAAAUGAUUUAAAACAAAUGUCAAGUAAAGUGAAUGUAACACAUACAAAUAGUAAUCACUGUACACACUGAUGUGGCUAAAAAAAAAAAAAAUCACCAGACUAAUGGUGGGAGAAGAAAACCAAAUCCACCACUAGAUGGAUUAGGCAUCAGAAUCCCAGAGAUGCCAGGAAAUCACAAAGUCAGGACUUGUUUCCACAGGUCACUGUGAAGUCAGAGCUGCUAUCCACAGGCCUGUUCCCAAAUAGAAGACAUAACUUCCACUUGACAGUAUAAAUUAUUUUUCAAAAUGGUCUUUUCUUCUCCUUGUAAACAAUAUUCAUUGUGUUCAAACUUGUAAAACAAUUCAGCUUGAUGUCUUCAUUCCCAUGUUAUGCCAGGACUGACAUGGCAAGUUUACUGAAGAGGGACCCCAGAUAUUAGAAAAACCCUACCAGAUAUGUGGGGAGUGAGUCUAUGAGAAGAAAAAUGACAAAAGAUUGUCUCAGCAUAAAAUUUCACUCCAGAUUCAGUGUUAAACUCGGGCUUAUGCACCUGCAUCUUGAGUGUUGUUUGCCAAAGUAAAUUAAAAAAAAAUGUGCUUUGCACCAGGCUGGUGAAACCCACAGAAAUAGCUGACCUAAACAAGGGGGAGUUCUUGGCCCCCAGACUGAUAGCUGGGGAACCAGCAGGAGGCCUCUGCACUCUAUGGGACCUCUUGUAGUAGAUCAGUACUUAUCCCUAGCAUAGGAAUGGACUUUGGGAACUCAUUACACAUAGAGGGAUACUCCCUGAGCCUAGACACACGGGGGUGGGCCUAGGCCCUAACCCAAAUGAUAUGACAGACUCUGAAGACCACCUAUGAAGGCCUCAACCUCCCUGGGGAGCAUAAAGAGUAUGGG